rnacentral:rRNA from 1 species
GAAACGCGUAGUCGAUGGGAAACAGGUUAAUAUUCCUGUACCCGUGAGAAGUGACGGCCUGUGGAAGUAGUGACGCCUUAUUGGAUUGGUGUUGCUGCCAAGGAGGUCCAGGAAAUAACUCUCACAUAUGGACCGUACCCGAAACCGACACAGGUGGGCAGGUUGAAUAUACCAAGGCGCUUGAGAGAACGAUGUUGAAGGAACUCGGCAAAUUGCCCCCGUAACUUCGGGAGAAGGGGGCCCACCAUGAAGGCAACUUUAUGGUGGGGGCACAGACCAGGGGGUGGCGACUGUUUACUAAA